rnacentral:rRNA from 1 species
ACACAUGCAAGUCGAACGAAGUGCCGGAGCUUGCUCUGGUUCUUAGUGGCAGACGGGAGAGUAACGCGUGGGAAUUUGCCCGAUAGUACGGAAUAACAGUGGGAAACUGCUGCUAAUACCGUAUACGCCCUCCGGGGGAAAGAUUUAUCGCUAUCGGAUAAGCCCGNGUCGGAUUAGCUAGUUGGUGGGGUAAAAGCCUACCAAGGCGACGAUCCGUAGCUGGUCUGAGAGGACGACCAGCCUCACUGGGACUGAGACACGGCCCAGACUCCUACGGGAGGCAGCAGUGGGGAAUAUUGGACAAUGGGGGAAACCCUGAUCCAGCCAUGCCGCGUGAGUGACGAAGGCCUUAGGGUUGUAAAGCUCUUUCAGCGGGGAAGAUAAUGACG